rnacentral:rRNA from 1 species
GCGGCGGACGGGUGAGUAACACGUGGGCAACCUGCCCUGCAGACUGGGAUAACUUCGGGAAACCGGAGCUAAUACCGGAUAACACCGAAAACCGCAUGGUUUUCGGUUGAAAGGCGGCUUUUAGCUGUCACUGCAGGAUGGGCCCGCGGCGCAUUACCUAGUUGGUGAGGUAACGGCUCACCAAGGCGACGAUGCGUAGCCGACCUGAGAGGGUGACCGGCCACACUGGGACUGAGACACGGCCCAGACUCCUACGGGAGGCAGCAGUAGGGAAUCUUCCGCAAUGGACGAAAGUCUGACGGAGCAACGCCGCGUGAGCGAAGAAGGUCUUCGGAUCGUAAAGCUCUGUUGUCAGGGAAGAACAAGUACCGUUCGAACAGGGCGGUACCUUGACGGUACCUGACGAGGAAGCCACGGCUAACUACGUGCCAGCAGCCGCGGUAAUAC